rnacentral:rRNA from 1 species
UGGGGAAUAUUGGACAAUGGGGGGAACCCUGAUCCAGCCAUGCCGCGUGUGUGAAGAAGGCCUUAUGGUUGUAAAGCACUUUAAGCGAGGAGGAGGGUACUGGUAUUAAUACUACCAGGUACUGGACGUUACUCGCAGAAUAAGCACCGGCUAACUCUGUGCCAGCAGCCGCGGUAAUACAGAGGGUGCGAGCGUUAAUCGGAUUUACUGGGCGUAAAGCGUGCGUAGGCGGCUAAUUGAGUCGGAUGUGAAAUCCCCGAGCUUAACUUGGGAAUUGCAUUCGAUACUGGUUAGCUAGAGUGUGGGAGAGGAUGGUAGAAUUCCCGGUGUAGCGGUGAAAUGCGUAGAGAUCUGGAGGAAUACCGAUGGCGAAGGCAGCCAUCUGGCCUAACACUGACGCUGAGGUACGAAAGCAUGGGGAGCAAACAGG